rnacentral:rRNA from 1 species
GAUGAACGCUGACAGAAUGCUUAACACAUGCAAGUCUACUUGAAUUUGAGUCUUAGACUUAGAUUUGGGUGGCGGACGGGUGAGUAACGCGUAAAGAACUUGCCUCACAGUUAGGGACAACAUUUGGAAACGAAUGCUAAUACCUGAUAUUAUGAUUAUACGGCAUCGUAUAAUUAUGAAAGCUAUAUGCGCUGUGAGUGAGCUUUGCGUCCCAUUAGCUAGUUGGAGAGGUAACGGCUCACCAAGGCGAUGAUGGGUAGCCGGCCUGAGAGGGUGAACGGCCACAAGGGGACUGAGACACGGCCCUUACUCCUACGGGAGGCAGCAGUGGGGAAUAUUGGACAAUGGACCAAAAGUCUGAUCCAGCAAUUCUGUGUGCACGAUGACGUUUUUCGGAAUGUAAAGUGCUUUCAGUUGGGAAGAAAAAAAUGACGGUACCAACAGAAGAAGUGACGGCUAAAUACAUGCCAGCAACCGCGGUAAUACGUAUGUCACAAGCGUUAUCCGGAUUUAUUGGGCGUAAAGCGCGUCUAGGUGGUUAUGUAAGUCUGAUGUGAAAAUGCAGGGCUCAACUCUGUAUUGCGUUGGAAACUGUGUAACUAGAGUACUGGAGAGGUAAGCGGAACUACAAGUGUAGAGGUGAAAUUCGUAGAUAUUUGUAGGAAUGCCGAUGGGGAAGCCAGCUUACUGGACAGAUACUGACGCUAAAGCGCGAAAGCGUGGGUAGCAAACAGG